UUGCAGCCAAUUAAGCCAACUGUGUUCAUUUCCCCAUGGAGGCCCAACGUGCAAUGGCUGCAAACAAUGCAGCCAUUGAGCAACGUGCAAUGGCUCCUCAGUAGUGUAUGUGGCCUAUUGCUUAUACCCGCUCCGUUAAGGAACUUGGAGACAGCC
rnacentral:snoRNA from 1 species